AGAACUUCUGAUGCCUAGGGAUCUUGGAGAAGGUGCGAUUGCAAGCUCUGCCAAAUGCCAAAUCUCACCAAGGAACACAUUUGUUCAUUUUUUCUAAUCGGUGGAUUUGGAGCAAGGUUGGUCAGCAACACAAAGAACUCUCCAGGUAUUUAAGUCUGUUGUCGAGUCCUCACCGCAUCUGAGUCACUUAGAAACUUCUAGGACUUGAAGCAGUGAGUCUCCUGCUUUGCUUUACCAUCAAGAGGAUGACCAUAUAAGGUGAAGGAUCUUUUCCAAUGGAUUUGUACUCAAGGCUUACAGAGCAUACAUGGUUUCAACAGCGGUGUCCCUUUGCUGUGGCUCUCUUUGAAUUCUCUGGUACAGCAAUGGUGUUUCUAGCAAUGGCCUCUGUUCAACUUCCUUUUUGGUGUUGUUUGGCAUGAUCCACAGGUAGUUCAUUUGUGUUUUGCAAUAAGAUGCUGUUCCAGGGCAAAGAUGGAAUGUUUUCUUCUUCCAGUAACUUGCCAGUGUGGUACAUCCAUUAAAUCCAGUUACACAUGUAACAG
rnacentral:lncRNA from 1 species